UGCGCUUCAAGGUGUUGGUUAUCACCUUUAAAGCGCUCCAUGGCAUAGGGCCUAGCUAUCUCCGAGACCGCCUGCUGCUACCGACGACCUCCCACCGACCCGUGCGCUCCCACAGAGAGGGCCUCCUCAGGGUGCCAUCAGCCAAACAAUGUAGGCUGGUGGCCCCCAGGGGGAGGGCCUUCUCUGUGGGGGGCUCCUACCCUCUGGAAUCAGUUGCCCCCGGAGAUAAGAAGAAUCCAGGACCUCAAUGCCUUCCGUCGUUCCCUGAAAACCCAUCUUUUUCAACAAGCCGGGUUGGCCUAAGAAGAAAUUUUUAAAAUUUUAAAAUUUUUAAAUUCUUUUAAUUAGUCUGUGAUUCUUAACUUUCGGGCCAAAAUUUAUAUAUAUUUUUAAAUGUUUUAAUAUUUGUAUCCUAUGUUUUUUUAUCUUGGCUGUACACCGCCCUGAGUCCUCAGGGAGAAGGGCGGUAUAUAAAUUGGAAAUUAAAUUAAAUUAAAUUAAAUUAACUUCUACCAACCCUGUGACCCCAAUUCCAAUAAUAAAGUGCAGGCCUUCAUCUCAAUUCUCUCUAGGCCUGUGAUGGCGAAACUAUGGCAGUGUGCCAGAAGUGGCACGCAUAGCCAUUGUUCCAGGCACAUGAGCCGUUGCCAAACUUACCCGAAGCUGUGCAUGUGUGUGCACCCCAGCUGGUGUUCAGGCCUUUGGCACACAUGCGCAAUUCAGGGGACCCAGCUGGUCUUCACAGCUCUCCUCUGCAUGUUUGUACAUGCAUUCAAGGCGACUGGUACGCAGCGCGUGCUUGCGCAGAUCACGUGUGCAUUGCAUGCGCAUGCGCAGAUGGUGAGAUUGUGUGUGCAGUGUGCGUUGGGGCGCGUGCUUGAAAGCUGCAUGCGAAAGGUCUGUGCAUAGAUGGUGCUGUUGUGCACACAGCACAUGGGGAGGAGCCGUGCAUUAGCCCAGAUGGCCUGCGAGCGCGCACAGUACGCGAAGCACAUUCCUGUUUGGCACUCGGUAAGUAAAUGGUUCCCCACCACUGCUCUAGGCAUUCCAUUCCCUUGUUUUUUUCCUUGCCAAAAUAGACCAAUCUUUGUCCGUAUUUCAUCUUACCCUAGGAUGGGUAAUCCUAGAAAUAGAAAGCCAAUGCCAUGAAAGUCACUACUACAGGUAGUCCUCAACCUAUGAUCACAAUUGACCCCAAAAGUUCCGUUGCUAAACGAGACAGCUGUUAAGUGAAUUUUGCCCCAUUUUACAACUUUUCUUGCCACAUUUGUUAAGUGAAGCACUGCAAUCGGAAAACUCCGGAGACAGCCUUGGAAGAAUGAAACGGCUUUCUUGCUCGGUGCCGGUGGAAAAGAGACGGAUCCGCCCAAGGCUUUUCCUCGCCGGGGAUCUCGAUCCCCAAAAAGGCCGGAGAGCCGCGGAUGCAGCUGCGGACACGGACAUCAAAGGCUCCGGGCGUCUUCGUUCUCUCCAGGCUUUCCAGGGGUUAAAGAGAGCGAGUUCUCCCUAGAAAGACCAUAUUGAGGAUUGCAGGGGACUCUUCCGGCCCUCCCUUUCGCUGUCCUGGCGGACUCCCCUCAGGGGAAAAAAAACGCCUUAGAAGCAUUUUGCGAACCUUCGGAAAAGAACCGUUGGAAGGGGCGGGGCUACGAUUUCCCGCCUGUCUGUGAAGAAGCACCGAGUGACAAAGACGUCCUCCUCUUCUGGGAAACACUGAAAUAUCAAUCCCUUGAUACCUUCUGAAACAUUCUAUGACAAGAUAAACAUAAACCAUUGGAUAAACAAAUAUCAAUAUACAUUCUUAAAUUUUGUGAUAUAAAGUUGAUAUUAAAAAAUAAUCCACCUUAAAAAUUCUGGAGCAGAGUUAUAUAAAAUGUAUAUUCUCUUUUAGCUGGGUAAAUUAUCGCAGUGAUCUAUUAAAUUCAAUUCUUCCAUAUGAACUCAACUGUUUACUAAUCUUUUCUUCAUAUGCUUGAUUAGAUGCUAACAAUAUAAUGGUUAGGAAAUUUAAAAAAACCCUAAAAACCCCUUUAAUAAAAUCUGGGGAUCCCUUAUCUUUACCAGCUGGGAUUACAUUUGAGACUAUGCUUAUUAGAUGGCAUCAAGUCCAUUCUUCCUGUACCUACUACACAAAGAUAUUAGCCUCGUUGUAAUUUGAAGCUCUCCCAAAGAUUUCCUGUAAUCGCCUUCAUCUGGCCCAUCUCUUUUAUUCUUUCUUUUCCCCUUCCUUCACUCAUUUUUUAGUAAUCAUAAUCCACCGCAUUUCCAUUUUGACAUUGUGAUAAAAAAAAUGGAACCACUGAACUUCUUUCCACACUACAAGUCUGUAAAUGGCCACUCCUCCUCAUAAAAAUGGCUCUUUUUAUGAGACGUUCACUCUUCUGAAUAAAGCUCCUUCAAUGUUAUAUGCUGGUAGGUUGGUUCUCCAUUGUGUGGAUCGUGUUAUGAGAAGAGGGGGAAGUGCUGUUUCUUUCCACACUCCUGGCACUGAUAUCGUUUCUCUCCCAUGUGGAUCCUCUUAUGGACAGUAAGGGAACAACAGGCCAGGCCAAGCUGUGCCACUGCAGAGCCUGCGGUGCUUUCCCUUCAACCUGGGUGGUGGCACUUACCUAGGUGGGCCAGUGCUGGUAGGUCGCCACACUUGUAGACGUGCAGCUGGAGUGGAACAUGGUGUGGGCAGAGAGGCCAAUACAGCAAUAGGCUUACCGGGGCCGCCUUGCUCAGCUUUGCUGCCUUUGUGCACUGUACAUGGAAGGGGCCGCUGCUGCUCUCACCACCCUCACUCCCUGCUUGCUUGCAGAUGUCCGGCUGCCCAAAGCAACCCUGCUGCCAUUUGCUUUCGUUUCGUGGCGGGAGAAGGAAGAAAGCAAACAGCAAUGGCUCGGCAGUGCUCCGGGAGGGCAGGUGGACCGUGAACGUUCUGGGCCUUAUGCAUGUGCACAUGCACACGUGAAUGUGCUGCACUACCGCCAUUCGCCUUCUUUCUUCUCCCGUUGUGAAACGAAAGCGAAUGGCAGCGGGUUGCUUCGGGUGGUUGCUUCGGGUAGGCGGACGUCUGCAGCCAGCCGCGGAAGGAGGGUGGCGAGAGCAAUGGCAGCAGCCCCUUUCAAGCGCAAUGCAGAGGCGACGGGCAAGGGAGUGCCAAGAUGAAGAGCUACCCGCAAUGGCGGAUAAGUGCUACUGCCCAGGCAAAAGGGAAAGCGCUGCAAGUUCCGGGGUGGCACGGCCGGGCCUAGCCCUCUCCCCGCACGGGGGCCAGCGACUUCCACCUCUCUCGGUCCACUUCUUCACCAGCAGGAAGUGGCGCCGUGGCUGAGCCUCCUUCCCCAGGAGCGCCGGAUUCCACAGGCUGUGUUCCUGGAGUAGUGCUGGCAGUCAGAGAGAGCAGGCAGGUGGCCAGGUGGGAAGCCAGUGGGCUGCUUCAGAGCCCCAAGCCCCUCGGAGCUGGGAGGGGUGGAAGGCGGCCUUUUCUGCCGCAUCCCUGUCCCCUCUUUGGAUCACCCUGCAGGUGGGGGGGGGGCUCCGCCUUUGUAGAAAUGGGGCAGGUGAUUUGUACAGAGAAUUGGCAGGGAGGGAUGCACAGCCCUCUGGGAUGGAGAGCGGGGCAAGAGAAGGCUCCGAGGUUCACUUGGGCACUCAAGGCAGAUGACGGAGGGAAACUCAAAGUGUUGGGGGCUUCAGAAGGGCAGAAUGUGCAGUUCCUGGCUCUAACAGUGAGUGAAGUGAUGUCAAGUUUGCCACGCCACACCCACCCGGUCACAUGACCACCAAGCCACGCCCACAGAACUGGUAGGGAAAAUUUUUAGAUUUCGCCACUGCCCACAACAUCUGAAGGCAAGCUGUUUCACUGGUUAAUUGUCCUGACUGUUAGGAAGUUUCUCCUCAAUUCCAGAUUGCUUCUCUCCUUGAUUAAUAUCCAUCCAUUGUUUCUUGUCCUGCCUUCUGGCGCUUUGGAAAAUAAGUUGAACCUCUUUGUGGCAGCCCUUCAAAUACUGGAAUACUGCUAUCAUGUCCCCCCCUAGUUUCUCCAGACUAACCAUACCCAGUUCCUGCAAAAAAAACCUUACAUUUGAAUAGAAUAGAAUUAAUUAGAAUUAGAAUUAUUAGAAAUAAAAUAGAAUAGAAUUUUAUUAGCCAAGUGUGAUUGGACACACAAGGAAUUUGUCUUGGUGCAUACGCUCUCAGUGUACAUAAAAGAUACGUUCAUCAAGAAUCAUAAGGUACAACACUUAAUGAUAGUCAUAGGGUACAAAUAAGCAAUCGGGAAAAAAUAUCAAUAUAAAUCAUAAGGAUACAAGCAAUAAGGUUGCAGUCAUUCAGAUUGUUCGGUCACACCAUAAGGCUAGUUGUUCAACCUCCCGUUGUAUGCAGAUUCAUCAUCAUCUUAAAUGAGACCAAUCAAUGUUUUAUUCUCUUUUGGGGCAAGGGAGCCAUCUCUAGUUUGUAUUGCUCUCCAACAUGCCCCAUUGACACUUAUUGUUGUUCCGGUUGUUCUUUAUUGGCCAAGUGUGAUUGGACACACAAGGAAUUUGUCUUUGGUGUAAAAAAACAUCUUUAUGGCACUUCCUGUGGUAAACUUGUGAUGUGGUUGUGUUUAUUGUGCCAGACAUAUAAAUGUGUUUCUGUGAGGA